rnacentral:rRNA from 1 species
UGGGGAAUUUUGGACAAUGGGGGCAACCCUGAUCCAGCAAUGCCGCGUGUGUGAAGAAGGCCUUCGGGUUGUAAAGCACUUUUGUCCGGAAAGAAAACGCCGUGGUUAAUACCCGUGGCGGAUGACGGUACCGGAAGAAUAAGCACCGGCUAACUACGUGCCAGCAGCCGCGGUAAUACGUAGGGUGCAAGCGUUAAUCGGAAUUACUGGGCGUAAAGCGUGCGCAGGCGGUCCGCUAAGACAGAUGUGAAAUCCCCGGGCUUAACCUGGGAACUGCAUUUGUGACUGGCGGGCUAGAGUAUGGCAGAGGGGGGUAGAAUUCCACGUGUAGCAGUGAAAUGCGUAGAGAUGUGGAGGAAUACCGAUGGCGAAGGCAGCCCCCUGGGCCAAUACUGACGCUCAUGCACGAAAGCGUGGGGAGCAAACAGGAUUAGAUACCCUGGUAGUCCACGCCCUAAACGAUGUCAACUAGUUGUCGGGUCUUCAUUGACUUGGUAACGUAGCUAACGCGUGAAGUUGACCGCCUGGGGAGUACGGUCGCAAGAUUAAAA